UCACUGUUAUUUUAGAUGAUAUCUAUGUCUUCUUCAGGUUCCAGUUCUGUGUUGAGGCAUCCAAAAGGCAAUCCAUUGAAUUUUUGAGAACCGAAACUGAGGAUGCGGUAUCGGGGUUGUACGAUAUAAUGCAAAAACAGUUGAUUGCUUUUAGGAAAGUAAAGCAUGAGAAGGAUCAAAGCCUAAAAGACAAGGAUGAAUAUUGAGAUGCUAGCAAAGAAAAUAGAUACGCUCAAAGCUAUUGAGGUUGAAGCUAAAAAGAUGAGAAGGGAGGUAGCUGGAUCGAGAAAGAGAUAGCUACUAGGGUGUUAACAGAGAACAAGAAAACAUGGCUAAGAUUCUGAAUUGAAAUUUCUUGAGUGUGAGGAGCGGGUUGUAUCUUUAUGAUCCAUAAUUUCCAUGUGAGUUAGUUUUGAAGUUUCAACAACAAAUUUUGGAACAGAGAAAUUGUCGGUUUAUGUGGUAUUCCUAUGUUUUGCAUAAAUGCCUUACUUUUGUCGUGAUGCUUUUUCUGGGUUCUUGACAUCUUUGUACGAGUAUUACA